UGCGGGGUGGAGCAGUCUGGUAGCUCGUCGGGCUCAUAACCCGAAGGUCGUUGGUUCAAAUCCAGCUCCCGCUA
rnacentral:tRNA from 1 species